AUUGAACGCUGGCGGCAGGCCUAACACAUGCAAGUCGAGCGGAUGAAGGGAGCUUGCUCCUGGAUUCAGCGGCGGACGGGCGAGUAAUGCCUAGGAAUCUGCCUGGUAGUGGGGGAUAACGUCCGGAAACGGGCGCUAAUACCGCAUACGUCCUGAGGGAGAAAGUGGGGGAUCUUCGGACCUAACGCUAUCAGAUGAGCCUAGGUCGGAUUAGCUAGUUGGAUGGGUAAAGGCCUACCAAGGCGACGAUCCGUAACUGGUCUGAGAGGAUGAUCAGUCAAACUGGAAAUGGGAAACGGUCCAGGCUCCUACGGGAGGCAGCAGUGGGGAAUAUUGGACAAUGGGGGGAAGCCUGGACCAGCCAUGCCGGGUGUGUGAAGGAGGUCUUCGGAUUGGAAAGCACCUGAAAUUGGGAGGAAAGGCAGUAGGUUGAUACCUUGCUGUUUUGACGUUAACAACAGAAUAAGCACCCGCUAACUUCGUGC
rnacentral:rRNA from 1 species